CAGACGGUUACUUAAGCAGGAUGUGAANUCCCCGGGCUCAACCUGGGAACUGCGUUNUGAACUGGGUGACUAGAGUGUGUCAGAGGGAGGUAGAAUNCCACGUGUAGCAGUGAAAUGCGUAGAGAUGUGGAGGAAUACCGAUGGCGAAGGCAGCCUCCUGGGAUAACACUGACGUUCAUGCCCGAAAGCGUGGGUAACAAACAGGAUUAGAUACCCUGGUAGUCCACGCCCUAAACGAUGUCGAUUAGCUGUUGGGCAGCAUGACUGCUUAGUAGCGAAGCUAACGCGUGAAAUCGACCGCCUGGGGAGUACGGUCGCAAGAUUAAAACUCAAAGGAAUUGACGGGGACCCGCACAAGCGGUGGAUGAUGUGGAUUAAUUCGAUGCAACGCGAAGAACCUUACCUGGUCUUGACAUGUACGGAACCCUCCAGAGACGGAGGGGUGCCUUCGGGAGCCGUAACACAGGUGCUGCAUGGCUGUCGUCAGCUCGUGUCGUGAGAUGUUGGGUUAAGUCCCGCAACGAGCGCAACCCUUGUCAUUAGUUGCCAUCAUUAAGUUGGGCACUCUAAUGAGACUGCCGGUGACAAGCCGGAGGAAGGUGGGGAUGACGUCAAGUCCUCAUGGCCCUUAUGACCAGGGCUUCACACGUCAUACAAUGGUCGGUACAGAGGGUAGCCAAGCCGCGAGGUGGAGCCAAUCUCACAAAACCGAUCGUAGUCCGGAUUGCACUCUGCAACUCGAGUGCAUGAAGUCGGAAUCGCUAGUAAUCGCAGGUCAGCAUACUGCGGUGAAUACGUUCCCGGGUCUUGUACACACCGCCCGUCACACCAUGGGAGUGGGGGAUACCAGAAGUAG
rnacentral:rRNA from 1 species